UACGGGGGGGGCAAGCGUUGUUCGGAAUUACUGGGCGUAAAGGGCUCGUAGGCGGCCAACUAAGUCAGACGUGAAAUCCCUCGGCUUAACCGGGGAACUGCGUCUGAUACUGGAUGGCUUGAAUCCAGGAGAGGGAUGCGGAAUUCCAGGUGUAGCGGUGAAAUGCGUAGAUAUCUGGAGGAACACCGGUGGCGAAGGUGGCAUCCUGGACCGGCAUUGACGCUGAGGAGCGAAAGCCAGGGGAGCAAACGGG
rnacentral:rRNA from 1 species